rnacentral:lncRNA from 1 species
UUGAUGCAGUUAUUAAGCUUUCCAACAAAGAAAACCCAGGGACCAGAUGGAUUCAUAGCAUAGGUCUACCAAAUCUUUAAAGAAUGAAUACCAAUCCUUUUCAAAUUAUUCCACAAAAUGUAAUUGGUGGGAACACUACAAAAUUCAUUCUAGUAAAUCAGUUUAAUCUUGAUUAAAGAACCAAAGACACAUCAAGGACAGAAAAUUUCAGGGCAAUAUCCCUGAUGAACAUAGAUGCAAAAAUUCUGUUUUGACUUCCCCUGUACUGGGGAUCAAACCUAGGGCCACUUAACCACUGAGACAUGUCCCCAACCCUUCUAUUUUUUUAUUCUUUACUUUUUUUUUUUGAGACAGGGUCUAACUAAAUUAGAGAGACUGGCUUUGAAUUUUUUUUUAAUAUUUUAUUUUUUAGUUAUUGGCAGACAUAACAUCUUUGUUUGUAUGUGAUGCUGAGGAUCGAACCCGGGCCGCACGCAUGCCAGGCGAGCGUGCUACCGCUUGAGCCACAUCCCCAGCCCCUGGCUUUGAAUUCUUGAUCCUCCUUGCCUCAGGCUCCUGAGUCACUGAAAUUAUAGGCAUAUGCCAAUGCACCCAGCUUUGAUGCAAAAAUUCUUAAUAUUAGCAAACUGCAUUUAGAUAGUGCACCAUAAUCAAGUGUGUUUCACCCUAGGGAUACAAGAUUCAUUCAACAUAUGCAAAUCAAUAAAUGUAA